AAGACAAGAAGUGUUAUAUUUGUCUAAGAAGAUAAGAAAACUAAAUUUACUGAGAAUUUCAGAAUUGUAUCCACUUGUGAAGCGUCAAGAAACAGUGUGAGUAAAACACUCAAAAAGCUGUUAUGACUCUGGAAGUGAUGGAGUUUUGUGAAUGGUGCUUGCUCUUAAUGGCAAAGAGUUGCAGAGGAGUGUGUCAGAAAUUUUGCAGUGCAAAAUGCGCAGAUUUGGUAAGAGUAAAGCUUCUUGCAGGGCAAAAAGCCCAGAAAUGCAAAACAAAAAUUAAAACACCAAAGGGAGAACAAGCCACCUAGCAAACAUGCUACAGCAAUAUGAGAGCAAGAUUAGAUACAGAUGAAAAUUAAACCGUUGUAUUUGACCUAGCAAGACUAAGUUUUUAAUUUUAGAAGCAUUUUCAAAAAAAUAAUCUAAUACUAUACAAAAGCAUAAAUCUUUGUCUAGUAUGAUCAUCAUAUAAACAAAUUGUAUUCUUCAGUUAUGGAGACUUAAGCCUUCUUGAGAGAUGUCUUUUUUCUCCCCUCUUCAAAAGGUAUGCAAGGGGACUUAAGCUUAAAAUGAAGACUUAACACUACGAUUUAUCAACUGCCAGCACGUACCCCAGCAUGAUGGAAAUUCGUUUUUAUUGCUCCUUUUCUCCCUUGUCCUGCCUUUUGUCUAGUAACAUUCAAGGGCUGGUACUGCCUUGAAAUGACCUCACUACCUACCAGUUACCAAGAGAGAAGCCAAUGUUCCGAGAGCUGUAGAAUCUUGGCAUGGAGAGAAUUACUUAUUGCCAGAAGGAAUGCAUUGCCUCAGCCUAUUUCCAUCGCAGCACAUUUAAGGGGGAGAAGGAGGAAAGUAGUCAAUGAAAUAAAGCUCUGACUACACAGAGACUUCAUAAAAUGAUAAUGUAUGAAUAAACAUCUCUGCUUAUCUCAGUGUAUGAAGUUUUAUAGCAGUAUAAAACUGAUUGCACUAGCAAGGCUUAUUUCCAUAGUGAGAAGGAAGAAAGAUGGGGGAACAGCUGUGCAAAAAGAUCCUGACCCUGAGUAAGGAAUAAUCCCAUCACCAAUUACUGAAUAUUGCUAGGUGGUGGGGGGGAACAAUUUGAAUCCUAAUAUUAGUUAAUCCUUUUGUUUGAUAAUAUAUAAUGACUACUAUCACCUUUCCUGUGCUUUAGUCAGUGCAAAAUACACAGUACUUUAUGAACUAUAAAAAAUUCAUCAUGUGUUUUAACAUCAUGCUGAAAUUAUGACUAGGCAGGCUACUCAAUUUAGUCCUAAUAACUAACUAAAACUGUCAUGUUCAACAAACAGCAAAAAGGAAUUAAGAUUGUUCAUAAACACAGCAAAAUUCUGCCUGUGCCCACUACUAAUGAAAGCCUUAUUCCUUCUACCAACUAGAAUCUAAUGCAAAAUAGCCUGUGGCAAUAUGUAAUUCUUACUCAACUGACACAUGGUCUUCCUAGAAACUUUUUUUAAAGCAUACAUGCAAACAGCCAAUUAAGCACAGUAAGGUCUCUAAAUAUGAGCACAAUUCCUAGAAAUUUACUGAAGCGGACUGCUUCAGUUCUCAAGUAAUCCACUUUAUUAUUUUCUACAGAAUCAGUGUUUCUAUUAUACCACACAAAAUGAAGAUAAGCUUCUUUCUUCAUAUUUUGAAUUUGUUUUGUCCUAAUCCACUCAAUAUGCUAUUGCACAUGGCACUUUCUUCCCCCAUCAUUAUCCACACUUCUUGCAAGUCAGAGAGAUGGGAUGAUAUGGAAAGGAUUUUAAAUAUGCAUAUAUCAAAUUCCUUCCUUCUCAAUGGAGACUCCAGGAAAUAGACACUCAAUAGCAAAACAUUUCUGUGCACUGAAACACUGAACAGAGCUUAGGCAGUACAAUUUGAGCAAUGCUGAGCUAACAUGCAGUUUGAGAUAAGCGCCCAGUGCAUGUUUAUCCACACCACUUGCUGCUCUUGAAGUGCUCUCUGGGCUGUGACAUUCCCUGUCACAUCUGCUGCGUGCUGAACACAUGUAGUUACAUUUACUUCUCAUCAACACAACUGGACUACUUGGUUUCUUCAAAACUUACUCUUCCUCCUUUUACUCUGAACAUGCCAAGCAGUUGGAUCUUGGCAAGCAGACCAGUCACUUUACUGAUAGUUUGAAGAAUCUACAGCUCUUCAAGAAAGUUUUGUUAUUUAGCUCUUCCUAAAAGCAUCCAAGUGCUCAUAGUGCCACUAAGUACAAAAGCAUCACACAGAAUUCAAAAGCAAGUAGUUCCUACAUGGAAGUCACCCUACAAUUUCUAGAGCUUUGAACAAUCUAUGUGGCAUAGGACCCAAACACAGAGAUUUCCCAUCACUAACACUUCAGACAAUACCUAAUCCUUGGAGAACACACACAUUACCAUAUAUUCUAGUUUUUUAAGGUGAACAAUUUACUAGCUUUCAUAUUUUUAAAAAAAGUACUUUCUGCAGAAUGGCAGGGAGAAUCAGAUGUAAAUGAAGAAUCAAAUUGUUACAAUUGCUGUUUAAUUCAGUCUCUCUUCAAAACCAAUUUGGAUUGUUCACCACACUGCAGCUCAAAGUUAAAAUGCCAAUGUUUUCAUGUUUACAGUUGUACCUCUAAACAUAUCACAUGUGUCUUCCCUCUCUUCUGUAAGCAAGCAAAUACAAUUUGGCUAUAAAACUGUAAGAGGAAUUGUCAUUUCAGAAACUUACUGGAUUCCUAGCUCAUUUUUGAAUGCCAGCAACAAUAGCAAGUUCAGUAUUGCAGCCACAGCAAAUGUGCAAGUAAAUUAUGAACCGCAAAUCUUUGACAAGGAGCAAAGUAGUGACCUGGGGUGGCAAGCCAGCAUCCUCGCAAAGCUCAUUUUGAUAAUUUUUCCUAUCACUGAAAUAGCACAGUUGUAGACCAGGUGUCCAACUGCUCUGAAUGCUUUAUACUUUGCUAAGGCUGCCUAACAGGCAACAGUUGUGCAUUUGAACUACACAAACGUCCCUUCAACUUGAAAUCCCACCUUCAGCUUGAAAUCCCACCUUCUGAGUGUCUGCCAAAAUUGGAAGAAGAGGGCCAAGGUGCAAGGAUGUUGGAGUAACUUAUAUGAAUAAUGGUAAAGUCACACUAACUUCUGUCUACUACAGUAUCACACCCCUGGGACUGACUGUCCACACAAUCCUUACAUCUGCUCUGAGUCUGUACAAAGACAGAAACCUUGGAGUCUUUGGCUUGGUCUCUAUUCCUUAUUCUGUAUUUAACUGUACUUGGUAGCUUUAACACAUAAUUUUGAAAGUUUUAAGACAACCAACUAGGUAUGCCACUAUGCCUUCACUGUUCUAUAGGUAAAGUACCCCUAGUUAAAUUCACAAACAUUAUUUUUACAUUUCCUGUCAAAUACUUAGAUUACUGAUGAACCUUUAUCACAGAAUUUUUACUGUUCAAAGCUCUACACAUAAAAAUAUUCAUAACGUAUUCUUCCCUUGAAAAUGUCAUGCAAGGUUAUUAAAUUCAGAAACUUGUUUUAAAAGAAAUAGUCAGGAAACAUUUAAACAACAGGAACUGGCAAUAUUGACAUAUAAAGAAACACUGAAUAUUUAAUUUUCAUUUGCUUUGGCUUCUUUAAGGUCACCAUUUUCAAGAGAUUUGUGAGAAUAGCAGCAUUUUCAUGUCAGCAGUUAACUUCUGGAGAUACUAGGAAAGUAAUGGGAGUCCAGCAACGGGCUAAUAUGUUUUAUGAGACACAGGUUUAUCAAAACCUUUUUUAGGAAGUAACUGACACUUAAGUAAACAAAAUUGCCAACUGGAUAUAUAAUUCACGUGCCAAAAAAAAAAAAAAGGGAAUAAGAAGGAAAGAAACUGCAGAACUGCAGACAUGGGUUAACUUAAAGGGUUAAACUGAAAUGAACACUUUCAGGUCAUGUUUCAUUAGUUUAAAAAAAAAAAGCAAUAAACA